AUCUCCAGCUCAGCAUCAAAUGAUCCAUCUGGAUGGCGUCUGAGUAUCUCAGACCGCUGACACCACGGGACAAACCCAUGAUACAAGUCAACCGCAGCAACCACAUCAAAUAACUGCUCUGGAGAAUACCCCAAAACACGCCUCUCUUCAUAAACCUUGGAUAAAACACCACCUUCCUCCCCGUCUCCGCAGCCAAGAAACCGUCUCUUUUGAGACGCAGUAGUCUUAUUGUAUAAGCUUCCCAAUGUGAAACUAAAAUCCGUC
rnacentral:misc_RNA from 1 species